rnacentral:lncRNA from 1 species
AAACAGAUACUUUAUUUAUAUAUAGAGCAUACAAAAUUACACACUUUAUUUACUUAUCAUACAAACUUAAUUUUACAUCACUUAGGAAGACAAACUCACAAAUACUAAUAUUAAUUUGGUACAAAACUAUUUUUAAUUUUUUAUUUUUCAAGAUUUUUUUUUCUAUUUUUAAUCUUAUCAUGAGAAACCUGCAAAUCUUGGAUACAUACCCUACGUCCACAUCCCGUAAAUAUAUAUACAUAGCUUGAGUUCUAGAUUAUUCAGGCUCCCACCUUCUAGGAGUUGAGAGUGAAAGCCAUCCACCUAAGGUUUUGCUUGCUGGGUCUGGUCUUUCGGGGGCUCUGCUGUCUUGUUCCUAGGUCCGACAAAUGCCUGGAUCAAGCAUGGAGGCUCAGGUUCCCUGUUUUUCAACUUAACCAACAGCUGGAUCAAGCACCGCAAAAUUAAAGGCGCAGCAGCUGUGAUCAAGGCGAGUUGAAAUUUGUCUUCAUCUCCGGUAACAGCAAAGAUUGCAGAUCCAUAAGUUAUAAUCAUUGAAACGCCAGCAACCCUUACUUCAAACUUGAAAGGAAAAUUAUGCGUGAGAGACAUAAUGACAAGUACCGCUGCAGAAAAGGCUAGGGUGUUGGAAGUCAAGAAAACGUAGUAGGCAUCUGAGUCAGAUGCACAGAUAGCAGUGCCUGCCGUAUGGUAAUCGUUGGUUUCCUGCCAUACACCGCCAGGGGGGUUAACCCCAGCUUGGAAGGUCACGGCAGCUAUAAGGGUCGCAACUACCAAGAGAGCGUUGCGGGCGUCGGCUCUAUUCUUAUCCCUGUCCUCCUCGUUUGCACCUUCCUUGUACUGAAAAUAACGACACCAGUCCUUGAAAGUAGUCCCAACCAUUGUUUUCUCUUGGGUUUUGAACUACAAACAGGAUUCAAGAAUUGAAGAAGCUUUUUGUUUAUGGGGAUAUGAAGAAAAACAAAGUAGUAGAUGGAUUUCUCCAGAAAAGCUUGGGGUUUGGCUGAGUCUUAAUUCAGCUUUUUAUAGUUCGCAACAGUAUCAAUCCCGUGACAAAUAUGAAGACAAUUCACUGUUCUUUUUCUAUAUUUGCAUGAUUAUGUUUGGACAAAAUGAGGAGUAGAUUCCUAUCUCAUCUUUGGACAUUGAUUAUGAUUACGUCUGUUAAUUAAUUAAUAAUUUAGUUUUCUUCAACCUUGUCAAUGUUGUUAAUUAGGACAAAAACCUGAUAGGCACUUCCACUUCCACUGCCAAGAUACGUCUGUAUGAUUUGUAUUUCUCAAUUUAAUGGCAUCAUCUUCCUUUUUGGUCAAUGUAGGGAAGAAGAUUACAUAAUCAUGCAUUUCUAGUUUAUAUAAGUAUAUAUUUAAUAUUUUAAUAAGUCUUAUUAUCUAAAAUUUCAGUAACACAGUAUUACUGAAUACCCAUAAAUAAAGGGUUAUUUACGAAAUACGUAUAAAAAUUCAAUAAUUAUAUGAUAUUUCGGUAAGUAAGUAUCUAAUCAUUAUUUUACGUAAUAAAGUAUCUAAUAUUUCAAUAAUUUUAUUUACUCAUGUUUUUCAUAUAAGUUAUUGAUAAAGCAUGUUCAUGGUGACUAAAUAAUAUAUGAAAAAUAAGAAAAAUAAUCAUUCAUUUCAAAGUUAGUAAAAAAUUAUUUGAGUUUAAAAUGUGUUUUUAUCAUCAUUUGUUCAAUUCUCGUUCGAAUAUAAGAUUCAAAAAUCGAAAAUAUUAGAAAAAAGUAAAUAUCAAUUAUAUAAUUAAUCAAAUAUAAAUUUUUUUAAUAAUAAUGAUAAUUUUAUUUAUAAUUGAAAAUAACAUGAUCAUAUAGUUAAUUUUACUGUCCUUAACAAAUCAGCUAUAGGCCCUUAUCAAUAUUACAAUUACAUUUUAACAUCAACAUCCAUUGCAAUCAAAAAUUCAAAUAUUUUUCGAUAACAGAAUACAGAAAAUUCCUACAAAGAAGAAUAACACUUACUUGAUUAAAAAUCAAAUAAACUUCAAGAUUUUAAAAAUAAAGAACAAGUUAUUAUAUAUGUUGGCAAGAUAACAAUUACCAGAGGAGUAAAAUUCUAAGGUACUGAAUCAAUUCAUGGUACAAAGAGGAGCCACAUUCUGAAUUCCAAGUCGAUUUCCGUUCGUCUCCAAUGCUUUCGCCUUGUAUCUGGACCAACUCUCCAUUUCUUGAACAACCGUAUGGUAAACCGUGCAAACUCCUCAAGAAAUCGAAUUCCCAUCACAGUGACCGUGUUACAUAGAUCACUUAUUUUCGUUGGACGUAUAUAGCUAAUAGCUACGACGUAAGUAGCAAUCAUUGAAAACAUGGCCAGCCGAAAGCCUGCCCUGGGAGGCAUGGGCGGACCCAUGUAUAUGUGUGUGGUGUCACAUGACACCACUCAAUUUAAAAGAAUAUUUAUUUAUUAUAUUAUUUUUUAGAGUUUAUAUAUUUAAUAAUACUAUAAACUUAUUAUUUUUUUAUAAUUUUGUAAAAAGUGUGUUCAAAAAGUAAAUUUUAUUAAAAAAUUUAUAUAUUAAUAAUAUUUAAAUAUUUUUUAAAAAAAUAUUUAAAUAUUAUCAAAAAGUAAAUUUAUCAAAAAAUAAUUUAUAUAUUAAUAUUUAAAUUCUACAUGAAAAAUUAAAAUAUUUUUUUUAUAAUUUAAAAUUUUAUUAAAAAAGUCAAAACCUAAACUACUCUCACUCUUCAAAAAUUUUAAUCUUAUUAUUGAGACUUACAGUGACUUUCUUCUUUUCUAUAAUUGAUUGUGUUUUUCAUUUUCUUAAAGUAACUCAACUAAAUUUUAAUUGUAAAAAAUUUUUAAACCAAGUUAAGUUUUUAAAUAUUUCAUGUUUAAAUAUUUGUUGAUUAAUUUGAUAGUUUGGAUUCAUAAUUAUAUUCUUGAAAUUAUUAGUCUUUUUUUUUAUUUUGUAGAUAUUAAUUAUUUGAUUUUUGUAUUUUACUUUAUGUGGUUUGUAGAUUAUUAUAUUUAGUUUUGAUUAAUAAAUAGAAAUUUGUUUUAUUAUUAGUUGUUGAACUUGAUAAUUUGCUACGUAAGAUUAUAUUUUGUUUAAUUCUAAUAUUUUAGUUUAUGGUAAUGAGUAGUAAUUUUUAACAAGGUUUUAUAAUUUUAAAUAAAUAAGCCAUGGAAAGAUAUUUUACAAGAAAAAAAAAAUUAUUUCACAAGAAUCAGAUCCCGAGCAACAACAACAAAAUUCUACUAACGAUUUUAGUCAACAAUCGUCUAAGUAAAGUUGUGUUGAAUUUGAUUUAAAUACUCUUCUGACAUAUCCUGAAUUGAGAAAUUUUUUUUUGAGUAUCAUGAUCAAAAUGAAAUUAGAAGAGCAUAUUUGCAGAAAGGGUCACUGAUACUAUCAUACCAUGUUUUCACAAUAUGAAAAAUUGUCAUGGAUAAUUAUAGGUUUUUAGAUAUUUUUAUUUUGAAGUAUUAAAUGAAUAUAUUGAAUUUACAUUUUUCUUAAUUUAAUGUUAAAAUUUUUAUUUUAUGAAUUUUAACAUAUUUAUUUUUUUACUUAGUAUUUUAAUUAUAACACCACUCAAGAAAAUUCUUGAGUCUGCCCCUGCUAAGAGGGAAUCCACUGGUGAGGAGAAAGGUCAUGGCAACUGAUGCAAUGAAACCAAUUGAAUUAAAACCGAUGAACACAGAAAAGAUUGGAGGGUUUUUACUCAUGACAGCCUCUCCGAGUGUCAUGGUUCUAGAUCUCUUCUGAACGACGUGGGUGCCGACGGUCGUAGAAUUUUUACUCUCUGCUAACCAAAAACCACUUGGUGGGCUCAGAAUUGCUUGGUAUGUGAUCGUUGCUAUCAGGACUGGCACAACCAUUAAUGAGUUUUUAGUUUCACUUGAUGAUUCCGUAACCUCUUUCAUCAGUUCCUUCCAUAGGUUCCAUGAACAACAAGAUCGCAAUAUUUGCUCGUUGUUAAGGCUUUCUGCUUUGGUUUGGAUAUGAGCAGGGCCUGUUGUGAUUUCUUGGGCUUUCACAGCUCCAGCUUGCUGAAACAUCUGAUAAAUAUGAAUAUCAUACAAAUCACCUCCACUUUGGAGCAGAAGAUCUAGGACAUCCUUCGGCGUAAAGCCGUUUGAGGUUAUGGCAUUUGCGUUAACCCUGGAAACCACUGCUUCUUGACCAAUUAACAGAGCUAUAAUCUGCAAAUGAUAUACAUCCAUAAUUUACAACUUCUGUAAAGGAUUCAAUGUGGAAUUAAACAUAACUUUUUAGAAAAUAUCGACAACGCAAUCAGUACAAUCUAUUCUUCCUUAGAAUUUAGGGUAGUCUAGGAAUUAAAGAGAAUUUAAUUAGAAUAACAGGCUUUGGACUCUAGCAUGAUCAAAACUAGGAUUUAGUCGCUCAUCUACUUCAACUUAUACGUGACAUCUUUCCGCAACCAGAACGCUGUAGAAGAAAUGUAGUUUGGUAUUUAUUACAUUUCCAAUUAAAUAAUGAUUUGCAUAAGUUUAUUGAUAAUUAAAGUUAAAUUUCAUUUGUCGAGAAAGUAAUGAAAGAUUUUUAAUUUUAACUUUGAUUUACAAGUUAAUAAAUAAUCAUAAUUUUAUUAAUUAAUUUAAUUAAUUAUAUAAAUUUAUCUUUAAUUAUAGGAAAUUGAAAAAAAAAAUAGGUUUCAAAUCUCACGAUUUCUUUUUAGAUUUAUAUAUUAUAUGUGUAUAUAAACAAUGGUAUAUAUAUAUUGUAAUUAAUAAUUUUAUAAAUUAUAAUUUUGUAAUGUUAACACAAAAUAAAAAAUAAAUAUGUUUACAUUUAAAGUACAUAUACAUAUAUAUACUAAAAGUAUUUUAAUAUAUACAAUAGUAAUUAUAUUCUUUAUAAAUGAACUUAAUAUAUAACGAAUAUAUAUUAAAAGACAUUAUAUGUCAAUUAAUAAUUAUUGUUUCAUGAAUUAAUUUAAUUAACUAUAUGGAUUUGUCCUUAAUUACAAAAAAUUAAAAAAAAAAAUAGGUUUCAAAACUAUUUUAAUUUCACAAUCUCUUUAGGUUUAUAUAUUAUAAGUAUAUAUAAAUAAAUGUAUAUAUAUAUAUAUUAUAAUUAAUAAUUUUAUAAAUUAUAAUUUUUUUAAUGUUAACAUAAAAUAGAAAGUAAAUAUGUUUAUAUUUAAAAUAUAUAUUAAAAUAUUUUAGUAUAUAUAUAAUAGUAAUUAUGUUUCUUAUAAAUUAACACAAUAUAUAAACUAUAUAUAUUAAAAGACAUUAGAAGUUAAUUAAUAAUCAUAGUUUUAUAAAUUAAUUUAAUUAACUAUAUGAAUUUGUCUUUAAUUUCAUGAAAUUAAAAAAAAUUAAAUUCCAAAACUAUUCUAAUCUCAAAAGCUCUCUUUAAUUAUAUAUAUUAUAAGUUUAUAUAAACAAUAGUAUAUAUAUUAUAAUUAAUAAUUUUAUAAGUUAUAAUUUUUAUAAUGUUAACACAAAAUAAAAAAUAAAUAUAUUUAUAUUAAAAGUAUAUAUAUAAUAGUAAUUAUAUUCCUUUAUAAUGUAAUAUAAUAUUCAUAUUAUUUGAAUAUAAUAAAUAAUGUAAUAAUUUUUUAAUUUAAAUCUAUUAAUGUCAUCACAUUAAUAAUUAGAGUAAUCAUACUUUGAUAUCUUUGUUAGUUUUUAACAAAAAGAAUUGCUUGUAAAAUUAGUAAAAUUGUAUAUUUUUAAUUAUAUUAUUAAAAUAAUAAAAAAUAUUUUAUAAAUGAUAAUCGAGUUUGGGUAAUGGAUGUUCAAUGAGUGGUACUUGAACUGUAUCCGAAUCCGAUACGGAUAGUAAAAUCAUUACCUGAAUCUGUCUCAAACACGAUUACAAGAUACUCCAAUUUUAUAUAACUGGAUCGAGUAUUCACAAGUAUCUUAUAAUAAGGUACCCAUUACUAUCUCUAACCAAAAUCAAAGUCUUGAUUUCAGUGCCUUAAAACAACUAAAACAACGGACUGAACUAAAUACAUAAGCUAAUAUCGCAUUACAAAAGAAAGAACAAUAAAAUAAACAAAAAGACAAACAAGGCUUUAAAAACAAGUUAAAUGCACGAACAUUGUUCGCUAUCAAAAUGGCUAAGCGAACAUUGUUCAUACAUUACAGUCUGGCUAUCAAAAGUCUCAUUGUCGAUCAAUUUCUGAAAUUUCUUUUAGUUGAUGAUUGUGCCUUUUUUAGUGGUCAGGAAAAUUCUAAAUACCCUGUAACAUCUGAUAAUGCAUGUGAAUAUACUGCUUGAACCUGAAACCCUUGGAAUAUAUCAGAUAAAAACAAUAUAAAAACUAGCAUUAAAAGUCUGACAGUGGGAGUUUCCUUUUCAUUGAUGCCCCUUUUUCCCCCCAAUUCUGUUAAAGGUGAUGCUUUUGGUUGAUACUUGCUCUUAUCCACCUUAAGAUUCUCACAGAAACUUUUCUUUUUUCUUUUGGUGUGCCACUAAAAGUGCAGAGGUGACGAUUGUGUUCAUAAUUGGGCAGCAUUUCGGGCUGGAACAAAGAAUGAAAACAUUGAGUGGUGCGUAGAGCCCCUAGCCUGGGAUUUAGUGAUACUUACAAAGUAGGUGAGUUGACAACACUAAUUUGUACACAAAGAAAUAUUGUUUUUUUGCUCGUGGUUCAUUUGGGUACAGAGAUGGGUCAAAACAGAUUGCUCUAUUUGACAGUUGUCUUUAUUCUUUUGGAGGGGGACAUGGAACAUGUGCAUGCAGUCACAAGCAACUACUGAUCUGCUGGAGAGAAUAAGUGAUCUUGCAAAUUUUUAGCUUAGGAGAUAGAUGUAUACAAAUAGUGCUAAUAAUCCGUACAGAUUGUCCUAUUAGCCUGUUAAAUUUCUCUCUGUAAAUUAAUAUAAAGUUUUCAUAGGAUAAGAUGAUGAAAAUAAGGAUAAUAUGAUGAAAAUAAAAUAAUCUGAUACAAGUAUGUAAUCCAAAGAAGCCCUAGAAAAUGUCAACCUUUGGAUGCUAUCCAUAAAUGGAACAAAAAACUUAGCAAACAAUUCAACCUUGCCAUGAAUCUGUGAUCUGCAAACCCAUGUUAGCUUGAAGAUUCAUGGGAAAUAAACGGGUUUCUUCUCCUCAAUUCGUUCAAUUUUGCAAUAUGCAUUGUCAAGUUCUUCUUAUGUUGCUUGUCUACAACAUGUCCAGAUUUGAAGCUGAGUUCAGUGCAAUUGCAGACCCAGAGAUGAAUCUUUUUCCAUUUAUGGAGAUUAGGGAAUUCCAUCGGUGUAGAAAAGAUGCUAUGUUGUCAAUUGAGCUUGAUAAAUUAUGGAUAGACCGACAUAAAUCAAACUUUGGAGAAUGAUUACAAAUAGAUGAUCAUAUACGCUUUAAUUUUUUUUCAAAAAAUAUAAGGACAAAUUAAAUAACACAAACUUAAUUAUUCCUUCAAUUUUAUGAAAAAAAAAAGAAUAUUGUUACCAUAGAAAAAGUUGUGCUACCUAUUCUUCUAUGACUAAAAUUACUAUGACAAUUCGUAACCGAACUUCAAUAAUUGAUGCAUCUAUUUUUUAUUUAAAAAAAUGAAUUCAAAUUUUUUUAGAUAAUAAAAAAAUUAUAGAGAUAUUUGAAUUUUUAUUUGUCCGAACAUUUGAAUGAAAUUUCAGAUUAAAUAAAAUACAAUAAUUAUUACUGUCGAAAUAAAUCAAAACUUGAUAGAUUCACGAGAUGUGAAACAAACAGGUACUUUAUUUAUAUAUGGAACAUACAAAAUUACACACUUUAUUUACUUAUUAUACAAACUUAAUUUUACAUCACUUAGGAAGACAAACUCACAAAUACUAGUAUUAAUUUGGUACAAAACUAUUUUCAAUUUUUUAUUUUUUCAAGAUUUUUUUUUCUAUUUUUAAUCUUAUCAUGAGAAACCGGCAAAUCUUGGAUACAUACCCUAUGUCCACAUCCCGUAAAUAUAUAUAUAGCUUGAGUUCUAGAUUAUUCAGGCUCCCACCUUCUAGGAGUUGAGAGUGAAAACCAUCCACCUAAGGGUUUGCUUGCUGCGUCUGGUCUUUCGGGGGCUCUGCUGUCUUGUUCCUAGGUCCGACAAAUGCCUGGAUCAAGCAUGGAGGUUCAGGUUUCCUGUUUUUCAACUUAACCAACAGCUGGAUCAAGCACCGCAAAAUUAAAGGCGC